rnacentral:rRNA from 1 species
GAUGAACGCUGGCGGCGUGCCUAAUACAUGCAAGUCGAGCGAACAGACGAGGAGCUUGCUCCUCUGACGUUAGCGGCGGACGGGUGAGUAACACGUGGAUAACCUACCUAUAAGACUGGGAUAACUUCGGGAAACCGGAGCUAAUACCGGAUAAUAUAUUGAACCGCAUGGUUCAAUAGUGAAAGACGGUUUUGCUGUCACUUAUAGAUGGAUCCGCGCCGCAUUAGCUAGUUGGUAAGGUAACGGCUUACCAAGGCAACGAUGCGUAGCCGACCUGAGGGGGUGAUCGGCCACACGGGAACUGAGACACGUUCCAGACUCCUACGGGAGGCAGCAGUAGGGAAUCUUCCGCAAUGGGCGAAAGCUUGACGGAGCAACGCCGCGUGAGUGAUGAAGGUCUUCGGAUCGUAAAACUCUGUUAUUAGGGAAGAACAAAUGUGUAAGUAACUAUGCACGUCUUGACGGUACCUAAUCAGAAAGCCACGGCUAACUACGUG